AUAUUUGAGAACCUUCUGGUGCUGGUGGCUGAACACCAUCAAAAUCGUCUUCUGGUUCAUUUUGAUGAGGAACUUCUGGAUUUUCUAACUCUGGCUCUUGUUCCUGUGGAACAUUUUCUUCAUCUCCAACUUGUCUUUGUUCUGUUGUUGGAGGAACUAUCUGCACAUCUGCUGCAUCAUCUUCAGAUCUAUCGACAGCUUGCUUCUGAGUCUUUUCAAUAUCUUCAAUAGUCUGAUUUUCAACAAAUACAACAUCUCUACUUCUUAUCAUCUUUUUCUGGANN
rnacentral:lncRNA from 1 species